AUGUAUUUAUUUAGCUGGGGAAAAGGGGGAGGGUAUGGCCUGCUGGUUACAAAUAGAGUCUGUUGUAUGGGUUUAAGAUGCAGGAAAAAAAUGAACCAGGCAUUGAGGGCUGCAGUAAAUAGCUCUGGAGUAAGUGCAGAUGGAGUGGGACAUGAAAAGUACAACUUGUUACUGAAUUACACAGCGCACAAGGACAUCAGAGUACCCUUCAUCACUCAGGAUGCAAUAUUUUGGAAAGGUCAUCAUUUCUCAUGUUGGUCAGAGAAGGUUCAGUUUUUCUUUGGUGGCAAAGGGUCAUAUAUUACAGGAUCUCUCCAAGUCUCCACAUCACUCAUUUCUGCUUUCCUUUACUUCCAUUAGUGCAGGGGCAUCUAAAUGGUUGUUUAUGCUAUUUCUGUCAUCUAAAAAAAAAAAUCAGUGUGGGUUAUUCACUGACAAGAAAUUAAUUCAUGGCUGUUUAUAAUAUUGUAUUUCCCACAUAUUUUGCUCUGCAAUGGUGUUAAUCAUUCAUCUGUGGCUUUGUUAAGUAACAUUUUGGUACUGUUAGCACGGGUUUCAUUUCACUAGUGACUCACUCCAGCUGCCUAUUUUACAGAAGGAUCAGUCAGUAAAUAGGAUCCAAAGCGAUCUCUUCUCUCAUGUGCACUUGUCUGGGGAUUUAAAAAACAGAAGGCAAUUAGCCGGUUUCAGCUGUCUGGAUAAGCAGGGCACAAACUCAGAGUGAAGGCCCAAACAACCUUAAAUGUGUAUGAACAAGGAGGCUGCUUUGCUUGUGGUGUGAGCUAGUGUAUUGGUUAGACAGAAGUGGCUGAUAUCCCCGUGAUUCACGGUGGCAGCUUCUGCAGUUGUUCAUCGCCAGUUCAAGCAGGCUGCUGUCAGCAGAGCCUGCAGGAUGCAGGCUGAAACAAUGAGUGUAUGUCCAUAAAACCCCAGACACUUACCUCUGGAGAACUUGUUUCUCCUUACCAUGUCUCAGCAUUUAGCUAACACUCUUCCUCCUGCAUCACCUCUCACUUUUAUUUGUAAUUAAUCAUUUAAUCAACACUCUUAUGUUUGAGUCUCCUGCUGUAAGUGGCCAGACAAAUGAUUGUGACAUGUCCUGUGACACAUAAGUAUGUUAGGGCUUAUGUACAUAAUAUGCAUGUUUCAGUGCUGUUCCAAUACUGUUUUAACAACCAAAAGAACGUUGUUGUUAAAAACAAGACACUUGAUCUUUCCAUUUUGAAUAAAAAUCUAGUGAUGUUCUGAAGAUACUUUUCU
rnacentral:lncRNA from 1 species